GCAAGGCUUAGUGGAGGUUUGUAAUACGUUUUGGACUCGUUACAUACAGUAGAGUGGAAUUUAAGGGUGUUGCUUGUCUCAUCACACCACUCUCUGCUGGUGGGGGAAUCCCAUUAAUGCAGCCUUCCUCUAAAGGAUCAGGCCUGAUCCUCCCUCCACAAGGCUGGCAUCCUUGUGCUGACUUGAACUGGGAGACAUCUGGGCUCUCCCUUUUCUGCAUGGGUGGAUACUGGAGGUUUGGAUGGAAAGAAACCUCAAAUUUAAAGAGCUUCUGUAGCAUGUUUUGGCUGAUGUGGGUCCACUGAAAAGCAGCAGUAAACAGGUGCUGGUGGCUGAAUGGACGGAUACGUAGGCCACGAUGAUAGAGACAGGACAGAGUACAAGAUUCUGCGGAGCUAGGACUACUCACAGGUUUGGCUGUUUCACGUAUCCAUAAGGCAAUGUCACAUUUUCCAUUUGGUCAAAUGAAGAUGGUCCUGGAAUAAAUAAAUGUGAGAAUUGUUAGCUGAA